rnacentral:lncRNA from 1 species
AUGAUUUACUCAUUGGCUCAUUUGUUUAUUGCUGGCUCUUCCCUUCUAGGAGAUGAGCUCCAGGAGAGCAAGGACGUCCAUCUAUUUCUGAUCACUGUUGUGGCCCUGCCAUCCAGAACAGCACCUGGCUUAACAGUACUUCCUUAUAAUGAUGUGUGCAAUUGCUGCAUCCUGGAAAGAUUCAUGGGAGAAUCUCAGAAUGGCUCUGGUUUUGUGAGAAUACCUCAAGUUGGAGUUGGAAGGAAGAUUUACCACGACUUUGAAGUGGAAUCAGGACAUCUGUUAGGUGAGGUGGGAGAGUCUUCGCUUAUGCAUUCAUACACGCUGGAGCUACUCAGACGGCAGCGGGGAAGAAGCCGUGAUGGAACAGCUCUCCAGACCUGCUGGUGGCCUGACUGUGGCUUUCGAAAUCCAUACUCCUUUCUUAACUUCUGUUUAAGGAAUAUCCAAACCAUUCCCUUCCUGCAAGAUAAAAAUCCAGAAAGGCAGAAAAUACCCAAGAAAACCCAAACUCACAAUACCUUGUACUGUACUUUAUAUGUGGUCCUGUGUGUAUCUUGGAGAAGGAAAAUGGCAACCCACUCCAGUAUUUUUGCCUGGAGAGAACCCCAUGGACAGAGGAGCCUGGCAGGCUGCAGUCGAUGGGUCACAAGAGUCAGACACGACUUGGCGACUAAAUCACCACCAUGUAUAUCUUAUUAA